AUUGAACGCUGGCGGCAUGCUUUACACAUGCAAGUCGAACGGCAGCGCGGGCUUCGGCCUGGCGGCGAGUGGCGAACGGGUGAGUAAUACAUCGGAACGUGCCCAGUAGUGGGGGAUAGCUCGGCGAAAGCCGGAUUAAUACCGCAUACGACCUGAGGGUGAAAGCGGGGGUUCUUCGGACCUCGCGCUAUUGGAGCGGCCGAUGGCAGAUUAGCUAGUUGGUGGGGUAAAGGCAUACCAAGGCGACGAUCUGUAGCUGGUCUGAGAGGACGACCAGCCACACUGGGACUGAGACACGGCCCAGACUCCUACGGGAGGCAGCAGUGGGGAAUUUUGGACAAUGGGCGAAAGCCUGAUCCAGCAAUGCCGCGUGUGUGAUGAAGGCCUUCGGGUUGUAAAGCACUUUUGGCGGGAACGAAAAGGACUGUGCCAAUACCACGGUUCGAUGACGGUACCCGCAGAAUAAGCACCGGCUAACUACGUG
rnacentral:rRNA from 1 species